rnacentral:rRNA from 1 species
GAUGAACGCUGGCGGCGUGCUUAACACAUGCCAGUCGAACGGAAAGGCCAGUGCUUGCCCUGGUGCUCGAGUGGCGAACGGGUGAGUAACACGUGGGUGAUCUGCCCUGCACUUUGGGAUAAGCCUGGGAAACUGGGUCUAAUACCAGAUAGGACCAUGCUUUGGAUGGUGUGGUGGAAAGUUUUUUCGGUGUGGGAUGAGCUUGCGGCCUAUCAGCUUGUUGGUGGGGUAAUGGCCUACCAAGGCGUCGACGGGUAGCCGGCCUGAGAGGGUGUACGGCCACAUUGGGACUGAGAUACGGCCCAGACUCCUACGGGAGGCAGCAGUGGGGAAUAUUGCACAAUGGGCGCAAGCCUGAUGCAGCGACGCCGCGUGGGGGAUGACGGCCUUCGGGUUGUAAACUCCUUUCGCAACUGACGAAGCUUUUUGUGACGGUAGGUUGAGAAGAAGCACCGGCUAACUACGUG